UACGAAGGGGGCUAGCGUUGCUCGGAAUUACUGGGCGUAAAGGGAGCGUAGGCGGACAUUUAAGUCAGGGGUGAAAUCCCAGAGCUCAACUCUGGAACUGCCUUUGAUACUGGGUGUCUUGAGUGUGAUAGAGGUAUGUGGAACUCCGAGUGUAGAGGUGAAAUUCGUAGAUAUUCGGAAGAACACCAGUGGCGAAGGCGACAUACUGGAUCAUUACUGACGCUGAGGCACGAAAGCGUGGGUAGCGAACAGG
rnacentral:rRNA from 1 species